GAUAAACAUGUAGUAGCCUCUAUUGAAAUGCCUUCGGACGCGGGUUCGAUUCCCGCCACCUCCAUUU
rnacentral:tmRNA from 1 species